rnacentral:rRNA from 1 species
AUAGAAAGUCCAACCUGCCCCAUGAAAAUUUUUAAUGGCCGCGGUAACCUGACCGUGCUAAGGUAGCGCAAUAAAUUGCCUCCUAAUUGGAGGACUGAUGAAUGGUCAAACAAGAGCUCAACUGUCUCCUUACUGCUAUAUAAAAAUUGAUUUUUAGGUGAAAAAGCCUUAAUACAAUUGAAAGACGAGAAGACCCUGUCGAGCUUUAAUCAAAUAUAUAGAACAAGACAAUUCUUACUAUAUAAGAAUUUUAGUUGGGGCAACUAGGGAACAAAAAAAACUUCCCUUAAAAAUUAAAGAAAACAAAUACCGAUCCAACAAUGUUGAUCAAAGAACAAGCUACCGCAGGGAUAACAGCUUAAUUUCUUUCAAGAGAACAUAUCGAAAAAGAAGUUUGAGACCUCGAUGUUGGACCAAAGUAUCCCAUAGGUGCAGCAACCUAUAARGGUUGGUCUGUUCGACCAUUAAAACUUUA